rnacentral:misc_RNA from 1 species
GAUGAAGAACGCAGUGAAAUGCGAUAAGUAGUGUGAAUUGCAGAAUUCAGUGAAUCAUCGAAUCUUUGAACGCACAUUGCGCCCUUUGGUAUUCCUUAGGGCAUGCCUGUUCGAGCGUCAUUUAAACCUUCAAGCUAAGCUUGGUGUUGGGUGACUGUCCGCUUCACUGCGGACUCGCCUCAAAAUUAUUGGCGGCCGGUACAUUGGCUUCGAGCGCAGCAGAAACGCGAACUCGGGCCCGUCGUAUUGGCUCCCAGAAGCUAUCUUCACAAUUUUGACCUCGGAUCAGGUAGGGAUACCCGCUGAACUUAAGCAUAUCAAUAAGCGGAGGA